rnacentral:tRNA from 1 species
GCCCGUGUGGCGCAAUCGGUAGCGCAGCGCCCUUAUGAGACGUGGGAUGUAGGUUCAAAUCCUACCGCGGGCA